GGAGAGGUGGCAGAGUGGUCGAUUGCGGCGGUCUUGAAAACCGUUGGACUGCGAGGUACCCGGGGUUCGAAUCCCUGUCUCUCCGCAA
rnacentral:tRNA from 1 species